UCCAGGACCGCUUCGGUGAUGGUUCUCUGUCGCUCCUUCGGCAGCCGGCAGGUUUUGAGCCGUUUAAGCUACGUGGGCAGCCGUCUUAGGAGAAGCCGAGGAGUCCCUUUGAGGUGGUGACGGGGAAAGUGACAACUGCAGGAAGAUCACCGUUAGCCCACGUCGUGUUUUCCUCUGUUGAAGAUGGAUUUGGUCUCUCAGCCCUCUAAAAAUGCAGAGGGACAACUUGGCACGAAAGAGCGACGGAGGAGGCGAGCCGAGCGCCGUAAGCAAGCAGGUGCGAAGCAAAGUGGAAAGCUGGGUAUCGGCAGCGCAGCUCCUCUGGCAAGAUGUUGAAGAGGAACCCAGCGAUGCAGGAAGAUCCCUGUUAGCGCGUGUGGCGUUUUCUUCGUCGAAGAUGGGUUAGGUCCCUCGGCCCUCUGAAAGCUAAGUGGAGGCACGGGGGCUGGGAAGGGGCUGGGAAUCGCAGGGUUGGGGUUAAGUUCUGAUAAGGGCCGUCCAGGAACAGUUCCCCUUGGGUGGGUAAAGUGUCUGGGGACCUUUACAGUGUGAUGCCAGGGUGUGGCGGGCAGGGCAGCUCCAGCCUCUGUCUGCAUUGUGUAGUUUGGGAAGCCUGUCUCGUGACUGUCCGAUGAUCCUGGGGUCUCGUUGCGCUCCAGGCGCACAGCAUGUAUCUCGGGUGCCAUCCCGGGAUCUGGAAUGCCAGUGCCAAUUGGCUUGGUGUCAAUUGGGUCCUGGAUUCUUGUAUCAUCAGCCGAAAGUGUGGGUAGUGGUUUCAUUUUUCAUGUUUCUGGUCAGUUGUGGUUUACGGUGUAGUUCUGGGCCGCAUCAUCAGCGGUUGUGCUCUGUAUGCAUCCAGUCUAUGGGACUGGCACUUUAAGAUGCUGGGAAGAAGUUCUUAGUUUUGCAGCAGCCUUGCGUGUUUGUGCCAGUGCCACCAUUUCUUAAGGGGCCGUGAUGUUGGGCUCUUAUUUUUUUCUGGGGUUGCAGUAGAGACUCCUUGCCUCACUGCUGCCUCUCUGCAGUUUCUUUUGAUUGAUGUAGUCUCUGUUUUGGAGUAGUUCUUGUUAUACAGCACUUUUGGUGCUGUUGAUGUGUUGUCUAUAAUGUUUUGAGGUGCGUCUGUCUGUGCACGUGCACAUUUGGCUCGGAGCUGCUGUGCCCGGAGGCGUGGAGUCAGGGGUGGGUGAAUGGAGCUCUAGGGGUGCACGGUUAAUCUGUUGACACGUUAAACUGCAUUGGCAAAGGUUGAGCCGUCAUCUGGGAUGGAGUAGCUGUGGGCAGGGGAGCGGACUGUCCCUUCUCCAGUGUUUUGGAGACCUAAUUAGAGCUUCUGGUGGGAUUCGUAAACAGAAAGCAGACCUGUUGGAUAGUCAAGAUGUUCAUGAGCAUCUGGGUGACUUGCUGAAUACCUUGAUUUCAGAUGCAGAGGGACAACUUGGCAAGAAACAGUGAGGAAAGAGGUGAGCUGAGCACGGUAAGCAGGUGGGGCGGUGUGUGGUGUCAGAGGGAAGUUGUGCCUUGUGCCUUUAUACUGUGUGCUCGCUCUGCUUAGUGUGUGUGUGUUUUCUUGUGUUGCUGUAGAUGUUGAGGAGGAACCUGGCGAUGCUGGAAUAUCCUUGUCAGCGCACGUGGUGUUUUCUUUUGUUGAAGAUGGAUUCAGUUUCUUGGUCCUCUGAAAGCUAAGUGGAGGCUGGGGUGCUGAGAACGGGCUGAAAACUGCAGGGAGGGGAGUAAAGUUCAGUUUGGGGCAAGGGUUAUCCAGGAACAGUCUCCUUUGGGCAGGUGAAGGGUCUAGGGAAUUUCACAGUGCGAUGCCAGCGUGUGCCGGGCAGGGCAGCUCCAGCCUGCGUCUGCGUUGUGGUGUAGUUCGGGAAGCCUGCCUUGCGCCUGUCAGCCGAUCCUGGGGUCUCGUUGCGUUCGAGGGGCACGAAAGUUUACUCGGGUGCCA